CCUACGGGAGGCUGCAGUGGGGAAUAUUGGACAAUGGGCGAAAGCCUGAUCCAGCCAUGCCGCGUGUGUGAAGAAGGCCUUCGGGUUGUAAAGCACUUUCAGUGGGGAAGAAAGCCUUGGGGCUAAUACCCUCGAGGAAGGACAUCACCCACAGAAGAAGCACCGGCUAACUCCGUGCCAGCAGCCGCGGUAAUACGGAGGGUGCGAGCGUUAAUCGGAAUUACUGGGCGUAAAGCGCGCGUAGGCGGUCUGAUAAGCCGGUUGUGAAAGCCCCGGGCUCAACCUGGGAACGGCAUCCGGAACUGUCAGGCUAGAGUGCAGGAGAGGAAGGUAGAAUUCCCGGUGUAGCGGUGAAAUGCGUAGAGAUCGGGAGGAAUACCAGUGGCGAAGGCGGCCUUCUGAACUGACACUGACGCUGAGGUGCGAAAGCGUGGGUAGCAAACAGGAUUAGAUACCCCGGUAGUC
rnacentral:rRNA from 1 species